UAAAGUGUAAUAAAGUUUUAUUUACAAUAAAAAUCACCUUAAAAAUAAGGCACUUUAA
rnacentral:tRNA from 1 species